rnacentral:lncRNA from 1 species
UCGUGCUUGAAAGCACUGUCCUAAGAAACUAUUUCAGAGUAUUGAAACGUUUCCCCAGGAUUAAACAAGUCUUCCUCUAAUUUGUAAGAGGGAUGUAGAACCAGCAAAAUAUGAAACAAAACCAGCAGGUGAAAUAAGAAUAUUAAGAAGAGCAGAUGGAGAAAGGGAGGAGAGAAUUUGCGAAGCAUAGACUUCGUUCUUCGGUGUGUAAAUUGAACCUGCCAAAUGGUUCUAUUUAUAGGCUUCAUGAUGAUACAGAAUACGGAAGAGGUAAGCUGAUUUCUCGUGAGAAUAGGCGUGCAUCCGUGCCAGACUUUAUCCUUUGAAGUAGUCAAAGGUCUAUCCUUUGUUGUGAGCUAUUGGAAAAAGGCUAUUGGAAAAUGUCAGACCAUCGGAAGGCUACUUGACCGAAGAUGUCUCACAAUCUGAUUUCUUGAAUUUGGCCUUCAGCAAAAUCUUGUCUUUGACCAAUUCUUCCCUCAAAAUAGGAACAAAUAUUUCUGAUGAAGUUUUAUCAGAUGAGACCGUAACAAACAUAAAAAAAAUCUUUUGGAAUAUCUAUUUUUACAACAAUCUCCCACCUAUUUCAAAAGAUUUUAGACAAAAGAGUAUGAACAUCUGCUGGAUUUGUUUGAGCUUAAUGUAAUCAGUUUGGUGUCUUUUGGACUAUGAACCAAACUUAAAUUGAUAAAAUAUGUCUUACAGAAUUAUUGGUGAAAAAAUAUCUUUCUAUGAACCAAUAAUUCUUGUUGUAUGACAGAGAUCUUAUCAAUCACAUUACAACCCAUAAUUUUGCUGUUCAAUGCAGUUUUGCGCAUUUAGGCCAUGCGCCUGCCUGGCUAUUCAUGAGAGCUCUAAAGAUUUGGCCAAAAAAUCUUAUAGGAGCGGCCCCACUCCACUCUCAUAUAGGUGAAUUUAUCAAGUGUAUACUGCUAUAGAUACACCUCCCUAAAGAGACAUAAAUUCAUUAAGAGUAUUAAACUCAGCCUCACGAUUGCUAGCAGUUAAAGCACUCAUCUCAGAAGGGACUUAAAUUUCAAGUGCUUUACUGUCAAUAUCGACUUGUUAUUACCCAUAUGAACCUAUUUCAUGGGAUCACCAAUCACAUAGGUUGGGUUACCAUCUCUAUUGACAACCGUUGGCCUAAGUCCCAUCUCCCUUGUAGUUUGAAGAAUUAAUUUUCUUCCUACAGGUUUAGUCAGAGGAUCGGCCAAAUUCAACUCUGACUUCACAAAAUCAAUGGAAAUAAUUCCAUCUCUAAGCAGCUGCUUUACGACAUCAUGUCUCAAUCUCAUGUGUCGACUUUUACAAUUAUAAGAUUUAUUUUUUGCAAUAGCAAUUGCCGCUUGACAAUCACAGUGUAUAGACACAGGAGGCAACAGUUCCUUAAUAGGAGGAAUAUUGGCUAAGAAAUUUCUUAACCAAUCUGCCUCAGAACCAGUCAGCUCCAGAGCUAUGAACUCCGAUUCCAUAGUUGACCGAGCAAUGAUUGUCUGUCUGGCUGACUUCCAUGCUACUGCACCACCACCAAGGGUGAACACAUAACCACUAGUGGAUUUUGUGUCAUUUGAAUCAGAGAUCCAAUUAGCAUCACUGUAACCCUCUAAUACAGUGGGAAAUCCACUAUACAGGAUACCAAAAUUCAUGGUACCUCUCAAAUAUUUCAUUAGUCUGACUAAUGCAAACCAAUGCUCACGAUUGGGAUUGUGAGUAUAUCUACUCAGUCUACAUACAGCAUAAGCUAUAUCUGGUCUAGUGAAAUUCAUCAGAUGCAUCAGACUCCCAAUAAUCUGAGCAUAUUUAGACUGAGCAAUUGGGUCACCAUUAUUUUUCUUUAACUGAGUGUUAGCGUCAUAAGGAGUACUAACAGGUGUCACAUCAUAAUUUUCAAACUUCCUAAGAAGUCUCUCUGUAUAAUGUUCUUGUGUCAACAUUAUACCAUCACCUUUCCUUAUGAUUUUAACACCCAAUAUUAUUUUGGCUUCACCCAAAUCUUUCAUAUCAAAAUUAGAAGACAAAAAAUAUUUAGUACUAUUUACAAUAUCUAGACUAGUACCAAAUAUAAGCAUGUCAUCCACAUAUAAACUGAUUAUCACAUAUUGAUCAUUUAUAAUUUUGACAUAUACACAUUUAUCCACUUCUACAGAUGAAAAUCCAUCUUUCAUCAAUACUUGAUCAAAUUUCUCAUGCCACUGUUUAGGAGCUUGUUUUAGGCCAUAAAGAGAUUUAAUUAGUUUACAAACCUUAUUUUCUUGUCCAGAUACAAUACAUCCCUCAGGUUGAAACAUAUAAAUUUCUUCUUCUAAAUCACCAUUUAAAAAGGCUGUUUUGACAUCCAUUUGAUGAAUAACAAGUUUAUGGAUAGAAGCUAAAGCAAAUAAAACUCGAAUAGACGCAAUUCUAGUUACUGGUGCAAAUGUAUCAAAAUAAUCAAUAUUUUGUUUUUGAGAAAAUCCUUUUGCUACUAAACGAGCUUUGUACUUUUCUAUAGAGCCAUCAGAGUUAUAUUUUCUUUUAAAAAUCCAUUUGUAACCAAUAGGUUUUGCACCAGGAGGUAAGUCUACCAAAAUCCAAGUUUUAUUUGACAAGAUAGAAUCUAUUUCAGAUUUAAUUGCUUCUUUCCAAAAUUUACACUCAGGAGAAGAAAUAGCAUCGGAGUAUGUUAAAGGAUCAUUAUCAACAAGAAAGGUUUGGAAUUCAUUUCCAAAUGAAAAUUCUUUUCUUGGCCUUUUGCUCCUUCUUAAUUCCUCAAUUGGAAUAAUUUCCUUACUUAUUUCAACAGGUGCAUGAGAAAUUUUACUAGACAGUGGAAAAAUAUGUUCAAAAAAUUCAGCAUUCUUUGUCUCAAUAAUUGUAUUACAAUCAAAUAUAUCACUUCUUAACACAAGAAAUCUAUAUGCAGCACUAUGUUCAGCAUAUCCAAUAAACAUACAAUCAGAAGUUUUAGAACCUAUUUUCCUUUUCUUAGGUUCAGGCAACAAGACUUUAGCAAGACACCCCCAAACUUUUAAAUAUUUCAAAUUUGGUUUAUAAUUUUUCCAUAACUCAUAAGGUGUUUUGCCAGUCUUUUUAUGUGGGAUUCUAUUUUGUAAGUGACAUGCAGAUAAUAUAGCUUCUCCCCAUAAAUUAUCUGGAGCAUGAGAACUAAUUAACAUAGAGUUCAUCAUUUCUUUUAAUGUUCUAUUUUUCCUUUCAGCUACUCCAUUAGAUUCUGGAGAAUAAGGUGGAGUUAUUUCAUGUAUUAUGCCUUCCUGUUCACAAAGGUUAUCUAAAGUUAAAUAUUCUCCACCCCUAUCUGAUCUAAUUCUUUUUAUCCUUUUAUUAAGUUGAUUUUCUACUUUAGACUUAUAGGAUAAAAAGGCAUUAUAAGUAUCAUCUUUAUUUCUAAGUAAAUAAACUUUGGUAUAUCUAGAAUAGUCAUCUAUAAAGGUGACAUAAUACCUUUUCCCACCUCUAGUCAUUGUUUGUUUUAAAUCACCUAAAUCAGUAUGAAUUAAAUUUAAUAACUCAGUUUCUCUAUGGACAGUUAUACAACUUUUCUUUGUUAUUUUAGCUUCUGCACAUAUUUCACAUUUGUCCAUAUUAUCAUUAAUACCAUAAAUUAGACCACAUGAUUGCAUUUUCUUUAUAUAACCAAUAUUAACAUGUCCUAAUCUAGCAUGCCAUAAAGAAAUGGAAUCAACAAUAUAAGCAGAAGAAGAUGCAUUUUCAUUUAUCACAUUGGAAAUAUUAAGUACAAAAAGUCCCUGAUUACAAUAGCCUUUCCCUACAAACACAUUAUUUCUUGUCAUUACAAUCCUUUCAGAUUCGAAUGAUACUUUCACCCCAACUUUUCCAAGCAAAGCCACAGAAACAAGAUUUGCCCGAAUAUUUGGAACAUGCAGCACAUCAUUAAGAGCCAAAGUAUUUCCUGAAGUGAGUUUCAAUAGUACUUUGCCCUUACCCAGAACUUUAGCAGUUCGUGAAUCUGCAAGGUAGACUAUUUUUUCAUCAUCCCCUAUUGAAGUAUAGGAGGAAAACGCUUCUCGAUUUGCACUUAUGUGCCGAGUAGCCCCAGAGUCUACCACCCAUUCUUUAACAUUAGCUGCAAUGUUCACUUGAGAGAUGACAGCAGCAAUUAUAUCAUCUCCUUCGGUUAAGUGCACCUUAGGAGGGUUACCAUUUGCUCUGUCACCUUUAUUAUGUCUGCAUUGGACUGCAUAAUGUCCUGGUUUUCCACAAUAAAAGCAAUUGCCUUUCUUCUUCUUAAAGUUGGGAUUGUUAGGCUUGACAUUAAAAUUUUUGGGCUUGUAGUUCUGGGAUUUAUUGGCGUACCUUUUAUUAUUGCUUUGCACCAAAUUGGCUUUGUAGGCCAUCUCCUUUGCCUUGGUAGCUCUCAACUCCCUUUUGCUUGAAUCCUCAAUGAGGAUGUGUUUCACGAGCUCAUCCAUGGUAUAGUUUUUCUCCUUGUGUUUCAAGUUGUUUUUAUAGUCGGCCCAUGACUCAGGUAGCUUUUCAAUCAGCAUGCCAGCAGCGAAUUUUUCAGGAAGAUUGAUGUCUUCAUUUUUCAAGUCCUCUAGCAGCAUUUGAUAUUCAGUGAUUUGGAUUUUCAUCUCCUUGUCAUCCGUCAUUUGCCAUUGGUUAUAUUUUCCUACGACGAAUUUUUGCUUGGUUGCAUCUUCGGCAGUAAACUUUGUUACCAAGCCUUCCCAAAUUGCCUUGGCUUCUUUGCUGCUACAAUAGACGUCAAAUAAUUCAUUAGAGAGUGUUUGAAGGAUAGUGUGUCGACAUACCUUAUUGGCAUAUUGCCAUGCUUCUUGAGUCUUGGCAUCCGCAGUUGCGGAAGGUUGAGAUUCAGUGAGCGCAUAAGCUACUCCAUGAAUGUCAAGUAGAGAGUGCACACGUUCUUGCCAUCUUUUAAAAUUUUCAUUGGCGAAAAUUUCAAUUUUGGAUACAUCUGGAAAGGGCUUGGCGAAUGGUAGUGCCACUGCAACAGUUGCUGAUGAAGGCUGCGGGGUGCUAACAUUGUCAGAUGCCAUAGUUUCUUAGAUUGUUGGAAAAGGCGGCCUGAACAAUGCUAACACUUGAACACUUGAGUCGUGCUUGAAAGCACUGUCCUAAGAAACUAUUUCAGAGUAUUGAAACGUUUCCCCAGGAUUAAACAAGUCUUCCUCUAAUUUGUAAGAGGGAUGUAGAACCAGCAAAAUAUGAAACAAAACCAGCAGGUGAAAUAAGAAUAUUAAGAAGAGCAGAUGGAGAAAGGGAGGAGAGAAUUUGCGAAGCAUAGACUUCGUUCUUCGGUGUGUAAAUUGAACCUGCCAAAUGGUUCUAUUUAUAGGCUUCAUGAUGAUACAGAAUACGGAAGAGGUAAGCUGAUUUCUCGUGAGAAUAGGCGUGCAUCCGUGCCAGACUUUAUCCUUUGAAGUAGUCAAAGGUCUAUCCUUUGUUGUGAGCUAUUGGAAAAAGGCUAUUGGAAAAUGUCAGACCAUCGGAAGGCUACUUGACCGAAGAUGUCUCACAAUCUGAUUUCUUG